rnacentral:miRNA from 1 species
CAAGUACAUCGCUAUAUCU